GAGUUUGAUCCUGGCCAGGACGAACCCUGGCGGCGUGCUUCAUACAUGCAAGUCGAACGGGGUCCCCUCAGUGGCAACACUGAGGACGACCUAGUGGCGAACGGGUGAGUAACACGUGAGGAACCUAUCCCGGUCUCUGGAAUAACAAGUGGAAACACUUGCUAAUACCGGAUGCCGUCAUCACCUCUCCUGGGGAGAUGACGAAAGAUUUAUCGGAUCGGGCGGGCCUCGCGGCCUAUCAGCUAGUUGGUGGGGUAACGGCCUACCAAGGCAUCGACGGGUAGCUGGUCUGAGAGGAUGAUCAGCCACACUGGGACUGAGACACGGCCCAGACUCCUACGGGAGGCAGCAGUAGGGAAUCUUGCGCAAUGGGCGAAAGCCCGACGCAGCAACGCCGCGUGCGGGAAGAAGGCUCUCGGGUUGUAAACCGCUUUCAGUAGGAACGAAUUUGACGGUACCUGCAGAAGAAGGUGCGGCCAACUACGUGCCAGCAGCGCGGUAA
rnacentral:rRNA from 1 species